UACAGAGGUCUCAAGCGUUGUUCGGAUUCAUUGGGCGUAAAGGGUGCGUAGGCGGCGCGGUAAGUCGGGUGUGAAAUCUCGGAGCUUAACUCCGAAACUGCAUUCGAUACUGCCGUGCUUGAGGACUGGAGAGGAGACUGGAAUUUACGGUGUAGCGGUGAAAUGCGUAGAUAUCAGUCGGAACACCGGUGGCGAAGGCGGCUUCUUGGGCCUUUACUGACGCUGAGGCGCGAAAGCCAGGGGAGCGAACGGG
rnacentral:rRNA from 1 species